rnacentral:rRNA from 1 species
UACGUAGGUGGCAAGCGUUGUCCGGAUUUACUGGGCGUAAAGAGCGCGCAGGCGGUCGUUCAAGUCGCGUGUGAAAGCCCCCGGCUCAACUGGGGAGGGUCACGCGAUACUGAUCGACUCGAAGGCAGGAGAGGGUAGUGGAAUUCCCGGUGUAGUGGUGAAAUGCGUAGAGAUGUGGAGGAAUACCGAUGGCGAAGGCAGCCCCCUGGGCCAAUACUGACGCUCAUGCACGAAAGCGUGGGGAGCAAACAGG